CCGCGGCGGUUUGUACUAGGCUAACUCCACCUCAUAGAAUUUCUUAAAAUUCAUGAUGUCGUAAGGGAAAAUAAUGAUAUUACCUUACUAUGAGUGUCGUCCAAAUCUGGUGCCAGAAGACUCGGUAAGACCAGAGACGCAAACGUUAAUCAUCAUAAACAGGCGUAAAGGGUUUGUAGGCAGCUUUCACCAGACUAUGAUUACAAAAUAAAGUAGUUUAAUUGAAAGCUAGAAUCAAAAAGAGGUUAUAGUGUAUAACGCCUAGAGGAGGGCUGAUAUCCAUAGAUCCUAGGCAGAAUACUCAGGGCGAAGGCCACUCUCCACUACUGAUUGACGCUGAGAAACGAAGGUUAGGGUAGGAAAUAGGAUUAGAUACCCCGGUACUCCUUUCUGUAAACGAUGAAUGGUAGUCAUUAGUAUGUUUACUAGAGACGAAGUUAACACAAUAACCAUUCCGCCUUGUGAGUACUACUGCAAAGUAGAAAACAAAAAAAUUAGUCGGUCUCGAAGCAAACGGAGUGAAGCAUGUUAUUUAAUUCGUUUAUUCCGCCA
rnacentral:rRNA from 1 species